AGGGCGGAGGGAAGCUCAUCAGUGGGGCCACGAGCUGAGUGCGUCCUGUCACUCCACUCCCAUGUCCCUUGGGAAGGUCUGAGACUAGGGCCAGAGGCGGCCCUAACAGGGCUCUCCCUGAGCUUCGGGGAGGUGAGUUCCCAGAGAACGGGGCUCCGCGCGAGGUCAGACUGGGCAGGAGAUGCCGUGGACCCCGCCCUUCGGGGAGGGGCCCGGCGGAUGCCUCCUUUGCCGGAGCUUGGAACAGACUCACGGCCAGCGA
rnacentral:lncRNA from 1 species